rnacentral:rRNA from 1 species
UUGACGGGACCCGCACAAGCGGUGGAUGAUGUGGAUUAAUUCGAUGCAACGCGAAAACCUUACCUACCCUUGACAUGUCCGGAAUCCCGAAGAGAUUUGGGAGUGCUCGCAAGAGAACCGGAACACAGGUGCUGCAUGGCUGUCGUCAGCUCGUGUCGUGAGAUGUUGGGUUAAGUCCCGCAACGAGCGCAACCCUUGUCAUUAGUUGCCAUCAUUUGGUUGGGCACUCUAAUGAGACUGCCGGUGACAAACCGGAGGAAGGUGGGGAUGACGUCAAGUCCUCAUGGCCCUUAUGGGUAGGGCUUCACACGUCAUACAAUGGUCGGUACAGAGGGUUGCCAACCCGCGAGGGGGAGCUAAUCCCACAAAGCCGAUCGUAGUCCGGAUCGCAGUCUGCAACUCGACUGCGUGAAGUCGGAAUCGCUAGUAAUCGCGGAUCAGCAUGUCGCGGUGAAUACGUUCCCGGGCCUU